AACCGCAAGGGGUGCUGAUUUUCGGCUGAGAGCGGGCUUAUGGCCUGUAACCCUGAACCUGAUCCGGAUAAUGCCGGCGGAGGGAUGCUGC
rnacentral:ncRNA from 1 species